AUGUGCCGCCCCAUUGGAUGUUAUUCUCUUAUCUAUACAUAGUCAAAUUACAGCAACCUAUCUUGUGUGUAGCUGGAUUCAUUCCCUGUAACUGCAUGGAGACGUCUGUCAUCAUGCCACUCUAGGAUUAUAUGUGCCAUUUUUUAAACCCUUUAAAAAGGUGGCCAGCACAAACCUGCAUGUGGCUACAGAUGGUCAGAUGGACACAUUCACUCUCACCACAGAGCUUCACAGAGACUGUCCGAGUCUGAGCUGCUCCCUGUUUUUCGGGGUUGACACAGAUUUUAAGACCGGAUGUCCUUCCAGACGCAACUCUCCCAUUUAACUCUUCGUUGGCUGCGUUAGUGCCCUGCCCAGGAAUCAAACCCGGGCCAAGGCGAUGAGAGUGUGGGAUCCUGCCGCUGGACCACCAGGAGGCCUUCCACGGAUCAUCAAUACUUAGAGAAAUCUGAUUAUUGGCUGAUUCAUAAACUCAUCAAAUGACCAUAGCACAUAUAACUCUGGUUAAUUACAGUUAAUUGGAUUGGCUUCAUUUUGCUUCACUGCCUUUAUUUGUAAGCAUUUGUUUGGAAAUACAUUUUGUCCAGCGAGUAGGCCAGUUAUGACAUUAUACAGUUAUGUUUUUAAUCCUUAAUUGUAGCAUUCUUAUACUACCGUUCAGAAUUUUUUUUUUUUUUUAUCAUUAUGCAUUCGUUGAAUUAAAUUAAUUAUA